GAUGAACGCUGGCGGCGUGCCUAAUACAUGCAAGUCGAGCGAACAGAUAAGGAGCUUGCUCCUUUGACGUUAGCGGCGGACGGGUGAGUAACACGUGGGUAACCUACCUAUAAGACUGGGAUAACUUCGGGAAACCGGAGCUAAUACCGGAUAACAUUUGGAACCGCAUGGUUCUAAAGUGAAAGAUGGUUUUGCUAUCACUUAUAGAUGGGCCCGCGCCGUAUUAGCUAGUUGGUAAGGUAACGGCUUACCAAGGCAACGAUACGUAGCCGACCUGAGAGGGUGAUCGGCCACACUGGAACUGAGACACGGUCCAGACUCCUACGGGAGGCAGCAGUAGGGAAUCUUCCGCAAUGGGCGAAAGCCUGACGGAGCAACGCCGCGUGAGUGAUGAAGGGUUUCGGCUCGUAAAACUCUGUUAUUAGGGAAGAACAAAUGUGUAAGUAACUGUGCACGUCUUGACGGUACCUAAUCAGAAAGCCACGGCUAACUACG
rnacentral:rRNA from 1 species